rnacentral:rRNA from 1 species
UACGAAGGGGGCUAGCGUUGCUCGGAUUGACUGGGCGUAAAGGGCGCGUAGGCGGUUCGUACAGUCAGACGUGAAAUUCCUGGGCUCAACCUGGGGGCUGCGUUUGAUACGUGUGGGCUUGAGUUCGGAAGAGGGUCGUGGAAUUCCCAGUGUAGAGGUGAAAUUCGUAGAUAUUGGGAAGAACACCGGUGGCGAAGGCGGCGACCUGGUCCGAUACUGACGCUGAGGCGCGAAAGCGUGGGGAGCAAACAGG